UGUUUAAUAAAAACAUUGUUUUAAGAAUUUAUUUAAAAUAAAACCUGCUCCAUGUAAAAAUAUAAAUAGCUAUGGUAAUUUUGACUAUACUAAGGUAGCAUAAUUAAUUGUUACAUAAUUGGUAACUUGUUUGAAUGGGUGAAUAAAAAAUAAAUAAUUUAAUAAAAAUUUUUAAAUUUUUAAAUUUAGUAAAAAUACUAAAAUUUUUUUAUAAGACGAGAAGACCCUAAAAUCUUUUAAUUGGGAAAAUUAUUAGUUUUUUUUGGGGCAAAAUAGAUUAUAAUAAUCUUAUAAUUUAGGGUAGAAAUCUUUAAUCAAGAUUUCAGACUGAGUAAAGUUACUUUAGGGUUAACAGGAUAAUAAAUAAAUAAAGUACAUAUAAAAUUAUUAUUUUGUUACCUCGAUGUUGAAUUAUAAAUGUUUUUUACGCAAAAGUUAAAAAAUAGUAAUCUGUUCGAUUAUUUAAUUUAUACAUGAUUUGAGUUUAAACCGG
rnacentral:rRNA from 1 species